GGCAGCUGGAGGCCAGAAGCUUCGGCAGAGACUAGGCGCUGCGAAAGCAGCUUGUCUUUGGAGGCCUCGCUUCCAGAAGACUAGGACCAGAUGCUGCAAAAGCAGUUGGUCUUUGAGGCCUCCUCACCUGAAGCCUCUGAGCUCCAGCCAGCCAGAGCAGGGGGCCCAACUGGCUCCGCCAAGGAACAGAGCUACCAGCUCUGGGGUCAGGGGUCAGGGACCAGGGUAAGUGGUUUAGAAAGGUAUUAGGGAUCAUGAAUCUCCAAAAGAAAACACUGAUUCCAAACAGCUCUACUGUAGUCCAGCCUAUACUCUGCUCCUGAUUGGCUUGUAAUCCUUACCUAGGUACUGCGCAUUUGCAACUCUCAACAAAGAUGGAAGAGAAGUGUGAUUCCUCACUCUGUAACUAAAACAGAGGAGUGUUUUAUGUAUUUCACAUGAUUGAUGUGCCUUUGAUGCUGAAAUCCUUGGUGGGGGAGGACACCUAAUUACCACAUAUUGAGCUACUGCCACCCAUCAGCUUUUGACCCUCACAUGUUUUGAAUUGAUGUGUUUCGGGUGUUAUAUGUGAUUCAGGUGUUUGAUGUGUUUCAGGUGAUUGAUGUGUUUGAUGUGUUUCAGGUGUUUGAUGUGUUUCAGGUGUUUGAUGUGUUUCAGGUGUUUGAUGUGUUUCAGAUGUUUGAUGUGUUUCAGGUGCUUGAUAUGUUUCAUGUGUUCGAUUUGUUUCAGGGAUUUGAUCUGUUUCAAGUGUUUGAUGUGUUUCAGGUGUUCAAUUUGUUUCAGGUGUUUGAGUUGUUUGAUGUGUUUGAUGUUUUUGAUGUUUUUUAUAUUUUUCAGGUGCUUGAUGUCUUUGAUGUGUUUGAUGUGUUUUAG